GCAAAGGCCUGAUCUGUUGUCUGCUUCUGACAGAAACCAGGCUUCUUGAGACAAUGCCUUCUCUUCCUGGGAAGACUGGUGAGUCAUGAAUUCUUAAUAAGGCAUUAAUCCAAAUGGUUAAUUUCCUUCAGGCCUUUAAACUGUUUCAAGAUCGGGUCAGGAUGGAAAAAGGGACUCAACUCUUCUUAUGAAGAGUUCAUUGGUUAAGGCUGCUAUUGACUGGUGACAAAAUCCGUGGACCCAAAAACAAAAACACCUGUUGCAGUGAAAAUAUUCUCCAAGGACAAAGAUGAGCGCUUUUGUGCCUCACACGAGAACAGAUGCUUUCUUCAUCACACCCGUGUUCCAGCUCCGCGACAUGACUCUGAUCAAGUUCAUGGAGAAGCGAAAUUUCCAACCCCUGUCACUCACUGAACUCCACCCAAUCGUACACAAGGCCCCUCGGGAAAUUACCAAAGAAUGUGACCACCAUUUCAUGGAUUCAAGAAAUGUUGAGUUCUACUCCAUUGAUCAAUUGCUACUCUCCAGGAUUCCAUGAACAGAUGUUUGCUCCCACUUGUGGUCUUCUAAACCGGUUCUCUGUUAUUAAUAAAUG